UGUCAUAUCCUCGUGUAUUAUUCCUUGUUCCAUAUGUCACAUUCUAAAUUCCUCAUUGUUCGGAGUGUCUUCUGUAACAGUUACCGUUUUGUUUCUGCCAGACAACCACCUGUGAGACAGGGCUGACGUGUAAAACCCGCCCAUCCGACUGCCAGUUCGGCAAGGACUGUCCACACGAGGCUGUAUGUGACGACACACCUUGCGAAGCGACUUGUCGAAAACGGUGUGACUUUGGCUUCAAGCCGACGGGAUGUCCGCGAUGCGAGUGUAUCCCGGACCCGUGUUUAUCAGUGACCUGUUCUUUGGGUCAGACGUGUAUGCCUAAAGUCCCACCAUGCGAUUUUAACACUGGGUGCC